rnacentral:lncRNA from 10 species
CUUGUUAUAUGGGUAUAUUGAGAGAUGCUGAGGUUUCGGGUACAACCGAUCCUGUCACCAAGGUAGUGAGCAUAGUACUCAACACUCAUUUCAUUUAUUAAUUUUUUCCAUCCCUUAGGUCUUUGAGUUCUCCACUGAAUGCUUUCCAAUAAGCCAGGAGAUGAGGGAUGAGAAAGAGUACACAAAGAAUCUCAUGAGAAUAGUUUCAGGAACUUUAGGCCAGACCUAGAAGUGGAUAUAUGACUUCCACAUAUGUUCCAUUGGCCAGAACUCCAUUGCAUGGUCCCAACUAACUGCAGAGGAAUCAGAAAUGUAGUCUAGCUAUGUGCAAAGGAGAGAAAAAGAAAUUGAACUUGAAAACAUAUUUACAGCCUAGAUGUUGGGGUUGGACCUUCUGUAAACUCUAAAGGCAGUUUAUAAAUUAAAUGCACGAGUGAUGUGACUCUGCUAUAUUUAUGCUGAGGA